GGGCCCGUGGUGUAGCCUGGUUUAACACGCCUGCCUGUCACGCAGGAGACCGAGGGUUCAAAUCCCUUCGGGCCCGCCA
rnacentral:tRNA from 4 species